AGCUACGUGUGGCCAGGAUAAACGCUGAAAGCAUCUAAGCGUGAAACCUUCCUUAAGAUGAGUUUACUUUUAAGGGCUGUCAAAGACGAUGACGUUGAUAGGCUACAGAUGUAAAACUGGUAACAGUAAAGUCGAGUAGUACUAAUUGCCCGUAAGCUUUAAUUUU
rnacentral:rRNA from 1 species